GUCCAAUUGAAAAAAGUAGGAGAAGUUAAAGUGAGCACCCCAGAAGACAGAAAGACAUCUGCUGUUGAGAUGCAGCAAAGGACCCUAAGGUUAUAUAACCAGCUAUCUGAAGUGAAACAGAAGAAAGAAGAAAAAACUAGACGAGAAGUGUAUGCUGUCAACAGAGAGAAAGCUAAAGAAUUCCAAAAGAAAACACUGGAAAGACUGAGAGCAAAAAAAAUGCACUGACAGCUUUUAAAUGAAAGUAUUUUGAAUAUAAUGGAGUUGUCCAACUGCACCUAAGUUAUGCAAUAAUUGUAUUAUGUUUGUUAUAGAUUUUGAUAUAUAUAUACAUAUAUAUAUAUAUAUAUAUAUAUAUAUAUAUAUAUAUAAGGAUUUUUGUAAUAGUAUUUAAAACUGAAGUGUAAAUAAGUUAAUAUAUUUAAUAUAUGUGCACUUUUAUACAGCUAUGUUAUAUUCCUUCCUUCAAACUGAACUCCAGCUUCUGUGACAAACAUUUUUCGUGUCACUCAUGCUGCUAUGUUGUGUGUCUGACAUUUCCAGCUGAAAGUAAAUCAUUGUGUAAAGAUUUUGUGUUGAGAGGAAAUAUUUUUAAUCUAUGUUUUUAUGUAAAUUGUAAAAGUACUGCAGUGUUUUCAGGCUUUUUGUGUAUAUUCCUACAGCAAGAUGUUUAAAACUCAACUAUGUAUUGUAUUAUUAUGACACUUUUUGGGUGAGUUAAUGGCCGCUGUUUAUGUAUGAGGUAGCAAGCUUUCUAAGGGAGUAAUCAUUUUGAGUUAAGUAGAUCACAAUACGUCUGAAGCCACUGUAUAAGAACAAUGUAUAAAGAGAAGCAGACAAAGCAGCAGUACACAACUAAAUAUUCAACUGAAAUGUGGUAAAAUCAUUUGGCAUCUUUUGUUAGAAUAAAAAAUAAAUAAAGAUCGAAAGGAAAA